rnacentral:rRNA from 1 species
GACGAACGCUGGCGGCGUGCCUAAUACAUGCAAGUUGAGCGAUGAAGAUUGGUGCUUGCACCAAUUUGAAGAGCAGCGAACGGGUGAGUAACGCGUGGGGAAUCUGCCUUUGAGCGGGGGACAACAUUUGGAAACGAAUGCUAAUACCGCAUAAUAACUUUAAACAUAAGUUUUAAGUUUGAAAGAUGCAAUUGCAUCACUCAAAGAUGAUCCCGCGUUGUAUUAGCUAGUUGGUGAGGUAAAGGCUCACCAAGGCGAUGAUACAUAGCCGACCUGAGAGGGUGAUCGGCCACAUUGGGAAUGAGACAAGGCCCAAACUCCUACGGGAGGGAGCAGUAGGGAAUCUUCGGCAAUGGACGAAAGUCUGACCGAGCAACGCCGCGGGAGGGAAGAAGGUUUUCGGAUCGUAAAACUCUGUUGGUAGAGAAGAACGUUGGUGAGAGUGGAAAGCUCAUCAAGUGACGGUAACUACACAGAAAGGGACGGCUAACUACGUG